rnacentral:snRNA from 1 species
ACGGACUGGGAACGGCUCUC